GCAGGAGCUUGCGGGUGAGUUAGAGAGACGGGAGCCUGAAGCAGCCUUGUCUGCACGUUACUCUGUGGAGGAAACCACCCGUGUAAAGGAGCAGGAAUUGCCAGACCAUCAGGACUCAGGGGAAUGAGACCCGGCCCCUCUGGUCUGGAAGGAGCUGCAGGACCCUGGGGAGGUCUCUAGCAGGCUGACCUCACUUGGGAUAAAGCAGUCAGAAGCUUAUAUGAGGAUGGAGAGCAUCAGGAAAAUGCCAGCAUAAACCAUGAUCCUGAGAGUUCUCAAGAAACCAACCUCAUGUGCUAUGUUUGUGGUCUAACUUCAUGAGAGGAUACAGGGUGGGCUGAUUCAGCAGGUGGGAGGCUGCUCACUCUUGCCUCUCCCUGCACUGAAGGCUUCACCUUCCCAAGUGAUAUCCAACCCUGCUCAUCACCCUGCCUGACAAGAAAGAUCCCUCUACUGCACAGUGGCCUUAAUCCUUGGACACAGCCAAUGCCACAGUCAUAAUAGUGUGUGACAUAAGGAUACCUGCAUGUGCUGAGGACAUAGCACCUUCCAGGACUUUGAAGCCUGUGGAUAAAAAGAAGACUACUAGAUGCAUGGCCCAUGACCUUAAGGACUUCGUGGCUUUCUGCACCUUCACAAUACAGAAUACCAAGUACCUCAGAGCACAUGGAAAUAGCCCCAGGGGAAAGCAGGCAGAAAGGGAGGGUUUUUAGCAGGUGAUACCUGAGUUAUCUUGGGAAGUGAGGCUGGGAUCUAGUUGGAAGACUCAUAGGUUCAUUGCAGGAAGAGCAAGGACCAAACUAGGGUAGCGCAGUACUGCUGGAGUGGAGCUGGCACCGCCAUAUGAAGGAGCGAGAUGUAAUAAUCCAAUGGUAAGAAGGGCGGGAGGGGGAAAUGGCGGGAUGCAGAAAGGAUUCAACCAGAUUCAACAAGUGGUGUGCUUGUGAACUAGCUCCUGGAAGAAGAAGUCCUGAUUAUUAACAGUUACCAUGUCUGUGGUCUAAAUGCUCUCACUGGGUUCAGAGCUGGGAAGAUUCACAGAAUCAGCUCACCCAAUUGAUAGGAGCCCCCUGCAGCUUGCCAUGGAACGGACUGCUUCCCUGGUUAGAAAGAAAGCUCACUUCCUCUUUUUGGGCACCUUUCCUGGCCUUCUGUGCAGUUAGGUGGGUCCACGUGACUGAGUUAUAACCAAGAGAAUAAGAAUUCCCAGAAUAAGGGGCGCCUGGGUGAGUCCGUUAU